CGUUGGCGGCGGAUGUGGGCGGAUCGCGGCGGCAGCUCCUCCCGGCCCGCCGCGGGCGGGUGUCCCUUGCAGCGGAAGCGGCGGCGGGAGCGGCCGCGUGGUGCGGGACGGGCCCGGGGGCAGGUCUCCGCUUGAGCCCGGGACGUUCCGGCCAGCCCAGAGGUGUGAUCCGGACACACCACCUGAUCCUGUCUGGGGCUGGGGUUGGAUCCAGCUGCUCCCAGCCUCCCAUCAGGCAUUUGGAAAACCGGGGCAUCCCUCCUGCACUCCCUGACCCAAUGGAAGGGGCUUCCCCAUAAACCUUGUCCACAACUUCCUGGGGAGCUGGGCAUGCACAGCACGGGGUGGCACCCACUCCUGGGGAGCUGCCAGCUGAGUCCCUGGGGCAGAACUGGGAACAGCUCUUGCUCCAGGGACAAGCUGUGGGAUGGCUCACAUCCCACUGAUCCUGGGAGCUCUUGGAUCUACCCUGCACCCCUGGAAAGCUUUCCUUUGCAGUCAGCCCCGCUUGAUUUUGGGUGUUUGUGCUUCAUGUGCACUCCACCCACACCCUGGGGUGCCUUGGGAUCCACCUACACUCUGAGGGGCUCUGGGGUGCCCUGGCUUGUGCUGGGGAUGCGAGGGAAGCAGAGGGUCCUUGGGGAAAGUGCCCCCGGUGAGAAAUGGGGAACAGGAGCUUGUGUGGCUGUGCCCAGAAAGCUGGGAGGGGUCUUGGGAAAGGGGUGAUGGUACCAAGAGACCAGUAGAACCCUUCCAGGGAGGAAACAGGUUGGACAUUCCAUAGGGAAGCUGGGCCCUGGCACCAGCGCAUCAGGUGCGGAGGGUGAAGGAAGCAGGCAGAGCUGCUCUUCUAUGGAUCCUGCUGCAUGGGAUGUCACAGUGGCCAUCCCAUGGGAUCAGCACUGGGGAAUAGCAGCUGGGGAGAGGAGUCAGGGCCAGUGCUGCUCCUUUGGGCUUCCCUUGUCUCCCUCCUGGGACAGGAGUAGGAUCUGGAAGGGAUGUGGAGCUCCAGCUCUGCUCCAUGCCUUGCACAGCUGGGAAUUGCAGUACAGGUGCUUCACUGCCCUUGGAAUCACCUUCUCUUGUUACCACAUGAGCCACAUGGCUCCUCCUCCAGCCCCUCUCUGUCCCUUGCCAGCUGCUCCUCUUUGGCUUUCAGCAUGUGGCACUGGAAUUUCAGCUCUGCCUUUCCCAGGGAUGGGCUGGGAAACCCAGUUAUGUCCCCUGCCCUGUCCUGGACACUCUCGUGACAUCCCAGGGUUUGGGAUCCUCAAACUGAGAUCUUGCCCCCCCCCCCACCUGGGGUUUUGGCCUCUCAAACUGAAGGUUGGGAUCCUCAGACUGGGGGUUGGGACCGUCAACCUCUUGUCUUGAGAGCUCAUUCCCCAGGCACCAGUUUCCACCCUAAACUGAGGGAUUUCUGUUUUUCAUUCCAGGUUCUCAGGGAGGAGCUGGGGGUGUCUGCAAAAGGCCGAUCCUGGUCCCCACCAGCAGAACUGGCGCUGGUUUGGAGUAGGGGGGUCAAUGGGUCGGUGAUCACAACCCCCCGUUUUGUUGGUUAUAAAGCGGCUGGUUUUGCGCUCGA